GACGAACGCUGGCGGCGUGCUUAACACAUGCAAGUCGAACGGAAAGGCCCUGCUUUUGUGGGGUGCUCGAGUGGCGAACGGGUGAGUAACACGUGAGUAACCUGCCCUUGACUUUGGGAUAACUUCAGGAAACUGGGGCUAAUACCGGAUAGGAGCUUCUGCUGCAUGGUGGGGGUUGGAAAGUUUCGGCGGUUGGGGAUGGACUCGCGGCUUAUCAGCUUGUUGGUGGGGUAGUGGCUUACCAAGGCUUUGACGGGUAGCCGGCCUGAGAGGGUUACCGGCCACAUUGGGCCUGAGGUACGGCCCAGAAUCCUACGGGAGGCAGCAGUCGGGAAUCUUGCACAAUGGGCGGGCGUCUGAUGCAGCGACGCCGCGUGCGGGAUGACGGCCUUCGGGUUGUAAACCGAUUUCGCCUGUGCCGAAGAGUGAGUGACGGUACUGGGUAAAGAAGCCACGGCUAACUACGUG
rnacentral:rRNA from 1 species